ACACUCCUGCGGGAGGCAGCAGUGGGGAAUUUUGGACAAUGGGCGAAAGCCUGAUCCAGCAAUGCCGCGUGUGUGAAGAAGGCCUUCGGGUUGUAAAGCACUUUUGUCCGGAAAGAAAUCCUUGGCUCUAAUACAGUCGGGGGAUGACGGUACCGGAAGAAUAAGCACCGGCUAACUACGUGCCAGCAGCCGCGGUAAUACGUAGGGUGCGAGCGUUACUCGGAAUUACUGGGCGUAAAGCGUGCGCAGGCGGUUUGCUAAGACCGAUGUGAAAUCCCCGGGCUCAACCUGGGAACUGCAGUGGUGACUGGCAGACUAGAGUAUGGCAGAGGGGGGUAGAAUUCCACGUGUAGCAGUGAAAUGCGUAGAGAUGUGGAGGAAUACCGAUGGCGAAGGCAGCCCCCUGGGCCAAUACUGACGCUCAUGCACGAAAGCGUGGGGAGCAAACAGGAUUAGAUACCCGUGUAGUCCC
rnacentral:rRNA from 1 species